rnacentral:rRNA from 1 species
GACGAACGCUGGCGGCGUGCUUAACACAUGCAAGUCGAACGGAAAGGCCCUGCUUUUGUGGGGUGCUCGAGUGGCGAACGGGUGAGUAACACGUGAGUAACCUGCCCUUGACUUUGGGAUAACUUCAGGAAACUGGGGCUAAUACCGGAUAGGAGCUCCUGCUGCAUGGUGGGGGUUGGAAAGUUUCGGCGGUUGGGGAUGGACUCGCGGCUUAUCAGCUUGUUGGUGGGGUAGUGGCUUACCAAGGCUUUGACGGGUAGCCGGCCUGAGAGGGUGACCGGCCACAUUGGGACUGAGAUACGGCCCAGACUCCUACGGGAGGCAGCAGUGGGGAAUAUUGCACAAUGGGCGGAAGCCUGAUGCAGAAACGCCGCGUGCGGGAUGACGGCCUUCGGGUUGUAAAACGCUUUAGCCUGUGACGAAGCGUGAGUGACGGUAAUGGGUAAAGAAGCACCGGCUAACUACGUG